UAGCUCUCAGUGUCCCUCUAUGUCUCUCGCACUGUCUCUAUGUCCUUGUCUUUCUCUCGCUUUGUCUUUCUGUCCCUGUCUGUCUCUCUAGCUCUCAGUGUCCCUGUCUGUCUCUCGCUCUGUCUUUCUGUCCCUGUCUGUCUCUCUAGCUCUCGAUGUCCUUGUCUGUCUCUCGCUCUGUAUCUAUCUUUCUCUCAAGCUCUCAGUGUCCCUCUAUGUCACUCGCACUGUCUCUAUGUCCCUGUCUGUCUCUCGCUUUGUGUUUAUGUCCCUGUCUGUCUCUCUAGCUCUCAGUGUCCUUGUCUGUCUCUCACUCUGUCACUGUCUGUUGCUCUAACUCUCAGUGUCCCUGUAUGUCUCUAUGUCCCUGUCUGUCUCUCGCUUUGUCUCUAUGUCCCUGUCUGUCUCUUGCUCUGUCUUUCUAUCCAUGUCUGUCUCUCAGUCUCUGUAUGUCUCUCUCAUUCAGUAUGGUAGCUGCUAGAAUCCUCUAUCGCCCCCUCCUCCCUAGGCUUGUUUUUUUCUCUGUAUUGUCCCCCCAUCCUCCUCUUGAUACCAACAUUCUCUCUCUCUGUGUCUCUCUCUCUCUAGCUCUGACUGUCUCUCGUUCUCUUUAUCCUCCCUCUCUCUAGCUCUGUCUGUCUUUCUGUCUGUCUCUCCUCCCUCUCUCUCUGUCUGUCUCUCCUCCCUCCCUCCCUCUCUCCUCCCUGCUGCUUGUUCUUUCUCUCUCUCUCUCCCUCCUCCUUUCUCUCUUCCUUCUCAUUAUCCGCACAGUAUCUGAGCAUCAUUGUGACGCAGGAAGGAAAGAGGAAAAUAUUCCUUUUAGGACCAGCAUCAGGACCAGAACCGAGCGCACCAGGACCUAGCUGAAACAUCAGCACAAAGGACAGAAGCAAGAGUCAGGACCUGGCUAGAGGAAAGCAUGACGAGGGAGGAUCUCCCAGAUUCUGCGUCUGAGGACACUCAGCGCCCCUUGGAGUUUCAGAGCCCCAUUGUAGAAAAACGCAGAAGACCUGUGGUUCAUCCUUCAGCUCCAGCACCACUCCCAAAGGAUUAUUCCUUCACCUUCUUUGACCCCAACGACCCGGCAUGCAAGGAGAUACUCUAUGACCCCCAGACCAGUGUUCCACAGCUAUUUGCCAUUAUCCGGCAGUGGGUUCCACAGGUUCAGCACAAAAUUGACAUAAUUGGCAGUGAGAUCCUGAAGAGAGGUUGCCAUGUGAACGACAGAGAUGGACUGACUGAUAUGACUUUAUUACAUUAUGCCUGCAAAGCAGGAGCACAUGGUGUGGGAGAUCCAGCUGCUGCAGUCAGACUCUCAAAUCAGCUUCUUCUCUUGGGUGCGGACAUCACCCUGCGCAGUCGCUGGACAAACAUGAAUGCUUUGCACUAUGCUGCGUACUUUGAUGUCCCAGAACUCCUGCGGAUUUUACUGAAAGCGUCAAAACCUAAAGUGCUGAACUCCACCUGCAGUGAUUUUAGUCACGGUACCGCUCUGCACAUCGCUGCCUCCAACCUGUGUCUUGGAGCCGUGAAAUGUCUGCUGGAGCAUGGGGCAAACCCCUCCGUUAGGAAUAGUAAAGGUCAGGCCCCAGCUGAGGUCGUGCCUGAUCCUAUGGACAUGGGGUUAGAUAAAGCGGAGUCUGCAAUGAUUGCUAAGGAACUGAAACAGAUCUUGCAGGAUGCGGUGCCAUUGACCUGUAACCUACCUAAGAUCACGCUGCCCAACUAUGACAACAUUCCUGGCAACCUAAUGCUGGCAUCACUGGGGCUGCGACUGGGUGACAGGGUACUGGUUGACACUGAGAAGGCUGGCACUUUGCGUUUCUGCGGUGCUACAGAGUUCGCCAGCGGUCAGUGGGUGGGAGUAGAGCUGGACGAUCCAGAUGGAAAGAAUGAUGGGAGUGUUGGGGGAAUCCAUUAUUUCAUCUGCCCCCCCAAACAUGGAAUCUUUGCUCCUGUGUCUAAGAUCACUAAAGCUCCAGAUCAGACCCCUUCCUCUGUGACUUCCACACCAAGGACCCCCAGAAUGGACUUUUCCCGUGUGACUGGCAAGGCAAAGAAGGAUAAGAAAGCCUCACAGAAGAAAUCACUGAGUGUGGGCAGCUUGGACAAGGAAGGAAUGAACAUUGACCUCGGGGACCAGGUGCUGGUAGCAGGACAGAAACAUGGGGCCGUACGAUUCUACGGGAAAACUGACUUUGCUCCUGGGUACUGGUUCGGCAUUGAGUUGGAGAAACCUACUGGAAAACAUGAUGGUUCAGUUUUUGGUGUACGAUAUUUCACCUGCUCCCCAAAACAUGGAGUGUUUGCACCCCCUUCCCGAGUCCAGAGGAUCGGUGGCUCCAAAGACCCUCAGACCGAUGGCAACGGAGUGAAAAAGGUGCAUCAAGUCACUAGUAGUCGCUCAGCCAAAGCGUAAUCUCAACACUGCACGAACGCCCAAAGAGAUUGCGUCAGAAAACUCCAUUUCCAGGUUGCUGUUCUGCUGUUGGUUUCCAUGGCUGCUCCGUGCUGAGAUGCAAUCCUAACCACAGACUCCCUAAAACCCUCUGGGGUCACAGACUGCUCCCCUCUGUCUGUUUGCCACCCCUCCCCCAGUGCCUUGCCCCCUGUACUCCUGGCUAUCCUGCCCUGACAAAGGGGGCACUCUCACCGAGUGCCGGCCAAAUCCUGGGGAGAAUGUGAGUGAUCCCCAGAGCCUGUUCCAAUGAUUCCAGCGUUAGAACUCGCUCCAUCCGCAAAAAGCAAUACAGAGUCUGACUCUCUUCCUCACACCCUGCUCGUUUGGGAGCGAAGAAAGAACCAUAAGAAUUCUGGCAGGUGCCCCCCACUACCUGUAAUUGGGAGGAACCUCAAUGCAGAAAAUGUAACCAAGUCAGACCUUUAUUGGAGUACAAUUACAGAGUCUCCCAAAUUAGGGAUCAUGUUAUAUAUCGGAUGCCAAAUGUACUCAUGACGGGCGUUGUAACUUUUAUUUUGUGUUUUCUUCUCCCUAAUUCGAGGGUUUCCCAUCUUCUCAAAGCCAAUUUUGUAACCCAGCGUGACGUUCCGAAACAAGGAGCAGAGUGCUAUGGAAAUAUGGGAAGAGCACAGCUGGGCAAGAGGUACCCCCACCACACACGUAGAAUUACAAUUCCCAAACAGCAAUAUGAGACUUGUAGUUCGACAGAUGGUGGUAUACCUGUUGGCUAUCCAUGGUGCAGGCCAUUGGUGCUAAUCUGCUCUGUGGUUGGCUAGCUGACAAAGCUAAACAGAUAACUUCCAUAUUAUUUAACUGACAGCUUCCUGAGAGCUGGGACACUGAGCUCAUUUUUGGAAGGGACUCCAUAACACCAGGCCAAUAAAUCCCCUGUGACAAUUUGUCAUAUACGUGGGUAAAGGGGUGCAGAGAUGGGGCCUUAACAUAUUCCAAAAUUAAUCAUUCCAAAGCUGUACCCCUAUCUCUUCCAGAAACCUCUCAAUGUGCCGCUCUCUGCCCUGGGAACCGCUGGCUGGUUUACAUGUUCUUAAACUGUCCCGUGGGCACCGCACAUGGUUGGGGGUACACUGGUGGGUGCUGUCCGGAGUGUUGUAAGGUGUGUGUUAGUCGGACCCUAUUAUCACCAUUUGUACACUGCAUGCAGACCCCUUCUCUGUAUAUAGUUUGGGGAACCCCUGUAUCUCUGUACUUUGUGCCCUCCCUCACCCAACUCCCAAACCAGGGCUAAAUAGCCGACUUAUAAUACACGCAUACACGCACACUGCCAUACCUGGGGUACAGUAUACACAUAGCUCUCUGUAACCUCUGUGUAUAUACAGUGUUCAGUGAAUGGACUCACAUAGCAAAGUCUGUAUGAGGACUCACACAGGGUACAUUAUAUAAACCAGUGUAUAUACAGUACUAGACACACAGGGUACAAUAUAAAACGUUUUAAAUAAAGUACUAGACUUACAUAGGGUACAGUAUAUAAAUAGGUGUAUAUACAGUACCAGGACACGCAUUGGAUAGAGUAUAUAAACAGGUGUAUAUACAGUACCAGGACACGCAUUGGAUAGAGUAUAUAAACAGGUGUAUAUACAGUACCAGGACUCGCACAGGGUACAGUAUAUAAACAGGUGAAUAUACAGUACCAGGACUCGCACAGGGUACAGUAUAUAAACAGGUGUAUAUACAGUAACAGGACUCGCAUGUGGUACAGUAUAUAAACAGCUGUAUAUACAGUAACAGGACUCGCAUUGGAUAAAGUAUAUAAACAGGUGCAUAUACAGUAACAGGACACGCAUUGGAUAAAGUAUAUAAACAGGUGUAUAUACAGUACCAGGACUCGCACAGGGUACAGUAUAUAAACAGGUGUAUAUACAGUAACAGGACUUGCAUUGGAUAGAGUAUAUAAACAGGUGUAUAUACAGUAACAGGACUUGCAUUGGAUAGAGUAUAUAAACAGGUGUAUAUACAGUACCAGGACUCGCAUGGGGUACAGUAUAUAAACAGGUGUAUAUACAGUACCAGGACACGCAUUGGAUAGAGUAAAUAAACAGGUAUAUAUACAGUACCAGGACUUGCACGGGGUACAGUAUAUAAACAGGUGUAUAUACAGUACCAGGAAUCGCAUGGGGUACAGUAUAUAAACAGGUGUAUAUACAGUACCAGGACUCGCACGGGCUCCGGUAUAUAAACAGGUGUAUAUACAGUACCAGGACUCGCACAGGGUACAGUAUAUAAACAGGUGUAUAUACAGUACCAGGACUCGCACAGGGUACAGUAUAUAAACAGGUGUAUAUACAGUACCAGGACUCGCACAGGGUACAGUAUAUAAACAAUGCUCUGUAUAGACAACUGAAAUAUUAGUAUAGCAUAGUACACACACAGAUGUGUGUAGAUAACCUGGACACACAAAGUGAACAUAAAUAGCUCUGUAUAAAGUACGAGAUUUUGUAUAGGGUUCAGUAUACGCACACACAGCUCUGUACAGACUAGCAGCUCAUACACAGAUCUGUAUAUAGUACAUAGUACAGCAGAUAACACUACCUUACACAGACAGAAUCUAGUAUCAGUAUAGGUAAAGCUAUAUCUAUAUAAUAUAUGCAGAGUAUAGGAAGAGGUGAGUCCUAUAUAGCAAUGGGUGUAGAUAAAAUGGGGUCAGCAGGUACACUGACCUUGGAGGGACAUCAGUAAUUUUUCCGUCUCACUGAACUCCCUAUAGAUUACCCUAUACUGACUGCGGUAUUAACACGUCACCCAUCCUCUAACCCCAUGUAAAACCUUGUGAUAAUAUGCUGUAAUGGGUGGUACUACCAACUCUAUAUAGGACAUGUGGAUGUAUAAUCUAAUAAAUAAACAGAUUUACUGA